UUUUCAUCAGACAAUCUGUGUGAGCACUGCAAAGUACGCUUCUUUAAGGUAAGGAGGUGAUCCAACCGCAGGUUCCCCUACGGUUACCUUGUUACGACUUCACCCCAGUCAUGAAUCACAAAGUGGUAAGCGCCCUCCCGAAGGUUAAGCUACCUACUUCUUUUGCAACCCACUCCCAUGGUGUGACGGGCGGUGUGUACAAGGCCCGGGAACGUAUUCACCGUGGCAUUCUGAUCCACGAUUACUAGCGAUUCCGACUUCAUGGAGUCGAGUUGCAGACUCCAAUCCGGACUACGACGCACUUUAUGAGGUCCGCUUGCUCUCGCGAGGUCGCUUCUCUUUGUAUGCGCCAUUGUAGCACGUGUGUAGCCCUGGUCGUAAGGNNNNNNNNNNNNNNNNNNNNCCUUCCUCCAGUUUAUCACUGGCAGUCUCCUUUGAGUUCCCGGCCGGACCGCUGGCAACAAAGGAUAAGGGUUGCGCUCGUUGCGGGACUUAACCCAACAUUUCACAACACGAGCUGACGACAGCCAUGCAGCACCUGUCUCACGGUUCCCGAAGGCACAUUCUCAUCUCUGAAAACUUCCGUGGAUGUCAAGACCAGGUAAGGUUCUUCGCGUUGCAUCGAAUUAAACCACAUGCUCCACCGCUUGUGCGGGCCCCCGUCAAUUCAUUUGAGUUUUAACCUUGCGGCCGUACUCCCCAGGCGGUCUACUUAACGCGUUAGCUCCGGAAGCCACGCCUCAAGGGCACAACCUCCAAGUAGACAUCGUUUACGGCGUGGACUACCAGGGUAUCUAAUCCUGUUUGCUCCCCACGCUUUCGCACCUGAGCGUCAGUCUUUGUCCAGGGGGCCGCCUUCGCCACCGGUAUUCCUCCAGAUCUCUACGCAUUUCACCGCUACACCUGGAAUUCUACCCCCCUCUACAAGACUCAAGCCUGCCAGUUUCGAAUGCAGUUCCCAGGUUGAGCCCGGGGAUUUCACAUCCGACUUGACAGACCGCCUGCGUGCGCUUUACGCCCAGUAAUUCCGAUUAACGCUUGCACCCUCCGUAUUACCGCGGCUGCUGGCACGGAGUUAGCCGGUGCUUCUUCUGCGGGUAACGUCAAUUGCUGCGGUUAUUAACCACAACACCUUCCUCCCCGCUGAAAGUACUUUACAACCCGAAGGCCUUCUUCAUACACGCGGCAUGGCUGCAUCAGGCUUGCGCCCAUUGUGCAAUAUUCCCCACUGCUGCCUCCCGUAGGAGUCUGGACCGUGUCUCAGUUCCAGUGUGGCUGGUCAUCCUCUCAGACCAGCUAGGGAUCGUCGCCUUGGUGAGCCGUUACCUCACCAACAAGCUAAUCCCAUCUGGGCACAUCUGAUGGCAAGAGGCCCGAAGGUCCCCCUCUUUGGUCUUGCGACGUUAUGCGGUAUUAGCCACCGUUUCCAGUAGUUAUCCCCCUCCAUCAGGCAGUUUCCCAGACAUUACUCACCCGUCCGCCACUCGUCAGCAAAGCAGCNNNNNNNNNNNNNNNNNNNNCCCGUCCGCCACUCGUCAGCAAAGCAGCAAGCUGCUUCCUGUUACCGUUCGACUUGCAUGUGUUAGGCCUGCCGCCAGCGUUCAAUCUGAGCCAUGAUCAAACUCUUCAAUUUAAAAGUUUGAUGCUCAAUGAAUUAAACUUCGUAAUGAAUUACGUGUUCACUCUUGAGAC
rnacentral:rRNA from 1 species